AGAGUUUGAUCCUGGCUCAGAGUGAACGCUGGCGGUAGCCCUACCACACGCAAGUCGAACGGCAGCACAGGAGAGCUUGCUCUUCUGGGUGGCGAGUGGCGGACGGGUGAGGAAUACAUCGGAAUCUACUUUUUCGUGGGGGAUAACGUAGGGAAACUUACGCUAAUACCGCAUACGACCUACGGGUGAAAGCAGGGGAUCUUCGGACCUUGCGCGAUUGAAUGAGCCGAUGUCGGAUUAGCUAGUUGGCGGGGUAAAGGCCCACCAAGGCGACGAUCCGUAGCUGGUCUGAGAGGAUGAUCAACCACACUGGAACUGAGACACGGUCCAGACUCCUACGGGAGGCAGCAGUGGGGAAUAUUGGACAAUGGGCGCAAGCCUGAUCCAGCCAUACCGCGUGGGUGAAGAAGGCCUUCGGGUUGUAAAGCCCUUUUGUUGGGAAAGAAAUCCAGCUGGUUAAUACCCGGUUGAGAUGACGGUACCCAAAGAAUAAGCACCGGCUAACUUCGUGCCAGCAGCCGCGGUAAUACGAAGGGUGCAAGCGUUACUCGGAAUUACUGGGCGUAAAGCGUGCGUAGGUGGUCGUUUAAGUCCGUUGUGAAAGCCUGGGCUCAACCUGGGAACUGCAGUGGAUACUGGGCGACUAGAAUGUGGUAGAGGGUAGCGGAAUUCCUGGUGUAGCAGUGAAAUGCGUAGAGAUCAGGAGGAACAUCCAUGGCGAAGGCAGCUACCUGGACCAACAUUGACACUGAGGCACGAAAGCGU
rnacentral:rRNA from 1 species